GCUGGGCACAGUGGCGUAUUCCUGUAAUCCCAACAAUUUGGGAGGCUGAGGCAGGAGGAUCACAAGUUUGAGGCCAGCCUGGGCAACCUAGUGAGGUCCUGUCCCCA
rnacentral:sRNA from 1 species